UUUUCUCUUGAGAUAUAAAUCCUAAAAUAGUAUGCUAGCUUAAAAUUGAAGCUUCUGGGUGCUUAGGAGGCUAUAUUAACAUUUAUUUUUGUGAUUAUCAUCCGAAUUAAGGUAAGAACCCUUUCCUUGCUGAGAUUUCUUGAUUUAUUUCUCAAAACUCCCCAAAACCUUUAGAGCUUGACUUUAACCCAAAAUUAGCU
rnacentral:lncRNA from 1 species